CCUAGCAGAGCGUUUUGUCCACAUCAGCAAAAAGCGCUUCCUUGAGGGCGCGCUUUGUACUGAUGUGGACAAAAUGCUCCCCCAGGG
rfam:Gossypium hirsutum cultivar TM-1 chromosome 19, whole genome shotgun sequence